ACUCCUACGGGAGCAGCAGUAGGGAAUAUUGGUCAAUGGGCGAAAGCCUGAACCAGCCAUGCCGCGUGUCAGAUGAAGGUCCUCUGGAUUGUAAAUGACUUUUCUACGGGAAGAAUGAGCCGUCUGCGGACGGAAGUUGACGGUACCGUAGGAAUAAGCACCGGCUAACUACGUGCCAGCAGCCGCGGUAAUACGUAGGGGUGCAAGCGUUGUCCGGAUUUACUGGGUUUAAAGGGUACGUAGGCGGUUGUGCCAAGUCUGGGGUGAAAGUUUGCAGCUCAACUGUAAAAUUGCCUUGGAUACUGGUCGGCUAGAGUAGUGGAGCGGUGGCUGGAAUUUAUAGUGUAGCGGUGAAAUGCUUAGAUACUAUGAGGAACACCAAUUGCGAAGGCAGGUCACUGGUCACUAACUGACGCUGAGGUACGAAAGUGUGGGGAUCAAACAGGAUUAGAUACCCUGGUAGGAUAGCG
rnacentral:rRNA from 1 species